UACGGAGGGAACUAGCGUUGUUCGGAUUUACUGGGCGUAAAGGGCGCGUAGGCGGUUUAUUAAGUUAGAAGUGAAAGCCCAGGGCUUAACCCUGGAACUGCUUCUAAAACUGGUAAGCUAGAGUACGGGAGAGGAUAGUGGAAUUCCUAGUGUAGAGGUGAAAUUCUUAGAUAUUAGGAGGAACACCGGUGGCGAAAGCGACUAUCUGGAACGUUACUGACGCUGAGGCGCGAAAGCGUGGGGAGCAAACAGG
rnacentral:rRNA from 1 species